rnacentral:rRNA from 1 species
GACGUAGGGCGCGAGCGUUGUCCGGAUUUAUUGGGCGUAAAGAGCUCGUAGGCGGCUUGUCGCGUCGAAUGUGAAAUCCCGUGGCUCAACUGCGGGUCUGCAUUCGAUACGGGCAGGCUAGAGUUCGGUAGGGGAGACUGGAAUUCCUGGUGUAGCGGUGAAAUGCGCAGAUAUCAGGAGGAACACCGGUGGCGAAGGCGGGUCUCUGGGCCGAUAACUG